CUGAAAUUCUGUAUUUAGUACCUUUAGUAUUCUCCUGCAGAGCUAGUUAUCAUGUAAAAUGCACUGCACAGGUACAAAGUAUAAUUUGAGGUCUGUUUCAGUACCCAGUGAAUUUAACCGGUACUGCAGAACAGAGUUGCCAGUGAAUUCAGCUGCCAAUGCAGACCCAAGUACACAGUGAAUUUCCCCACACAGGCAAAGUCCCUGUGAUUUCUGCUGUAGAACCUGGCACACUGGGAC